UUUUACCAGUUGAAUAAACUAUUAUCCACAAAAUAUUUUUUUUAAAGUUUAACAUUAUAUUUAUCGUUUCUAGGGGGUUAAUGAAUUAAUAUCCAUCAAACUUUUUACAUACUAAUUUUUAUACAAAGAUACAAAUAAGCACUAUUUUUCUUCAUAAAAAUGAAAAUUUGAGCCAUAAUCCAUAAAAAAAAGUUGAAAAGUUUUCAAAGUUAUUUAUUAUUUUUUGAGGAGAAAAUCAUAUUAUGAUAAUUGUAAUUGAAUACUUCAAGUGAAGAGGCUCUUCAGAAGAGCAUUCUUAUUCAUCUAUAACAUUCUCUUUAAUUGCAUUAUGAUCCACUAACAUACUGCAUUCCAUCCACUUAUCAAUGGUAAUGGUCCCCUCAUUUUUCACCUCAGGCCUCAAGGAAUCACGUGACUCCCGUGCACGAGAUGCCCAAACUGUGGUCCCGAAAGGGGACACUUCGCCACGUGUACCCCGCGUAUUGCACCUGAGAUGGGUGUCUUACGCUGCGACCCUGAUCCCUCAGGUUAACUGCGCAGGCCCAAUCACGACCGUUAACUUCAUAUUGUAGUUGUUUACAGAAAUCGGAAGAUUAUUAUCAAUCAACAUAGCAUUGAAUUUGGAGUGAUCAGAUUGUGGGGCCGGGUCACAAGAGACCGUGCUUGUCUCGGAUUCACGUGAAAGACAAUUUUUGGUCUCUGUAUUUUGGUCAUGAAUGAUGAUCCGAUGCUUCAUGUUCGUGCCAUCUCUUUCUCUUCUUUUGAUUGUAACACGAGUUGUAGCCUGGGCUCUGCGCAUCGAGCUCCUUUUCUUUCAUUCGGCAUCGAAAAUCUGGACCCACGUUAUGCAUCGACAAAGGAACUUGCACAGUUUUACAUUGCGUUGAGAAAAUAAUUUAAAUAAAUAAAAAUAAAUUGUCAUAUAACCAACAUAUGUACAUAAUUAUGUAGUUACAAUCAAUUAAAAUCAACACCAACUUUAUCUCGGUUGCUAAUUGAGUGGUAGUCUCUAUAUAUUGUUUGGUUGGUAAAGGGUGUUCAACAUAUUCAUACUGAAUUAUUUUGAAUUAUUUCUUAACCAUUUUAUUUUUUAUUGUUUUAAUUUUUAUCUAUAGAUAUUUUAUUCUGACCUCAUUUAUCUUAUGAUUGUUGAGAUUCAGAAAUAAAUGAGGUAUUUUAUUUAAAAAAAUAGAACUGACUUUUUCAAUUUUUAAAAUUUAAUUACAUUAUAAUAAAACUUCCAUUAUAACUUUGAAAGAGAAAUGACAGUAUCGAAUUCAUUUUCAUUUUCCAUGGCUUAUUAAAAUAAAAAUUCCAUUUUCCAUUAAAAUUUAAAUUUAGCUAAGUCUAACUACUCAGCAAUUGGCUACAAAGCUCUUGUUCUCCAUCAUCUUCCAUUGGCUCUAAGUUCCACUCAUUUGCCAAAGUGUCAAACACGUGGACAUUAAGCGUUAGCUUUAGGGUGCGUUUGAAAUUGAGGUUGGACAAAGUUACAGCACUAAAGUAUUUGGUAAAUAUUAUCUGCUGUAAUUUAAAAACUGUGUUCAUAUGAUUUUUCACUUGUAUGAUGUAAAAUCUAUUAUAUUUUUAAUAAUUUUGUUAAAAUUAUUAUUUAAAAUCUAUAUUCACUAAAUAUUAUUAACUUUUGUUCUAUAGUUACUGAUUAGUGUUAAGAAAUUAUACGUUUAUUAAGGGGUAAAAAUGUUAUUUUGUGCUAUUAAUGUAAUUUAUAUUUAUAAUUUGUAACAUAUUGUGAAUUUCUAAUUAUUUUUCUAAGUAUUUGAUUUUGUGUAUUUUUGUGUGUUUAUUAGGUAAAAAUAAUAAUUUCAUGCAAUUUGAGGCUCUAAACAAAUAUACGGAUGUCAAAUUUAGAUUCUGGAAGCUCGAGAAAUUAUGUCAUUGUCGAGGAGGAUCUGAGACUUUUGUUAUAAAUUUUUAAGUUUUUACUAUGGUAAAUGGGGUAAUUGUGAAAUUAUAAGUUUUUAUCAUAUUAGGUAUGGUAAUUGUUAGUGGAAUAUGUUGGAUGUGCUUGAGUGGAUUAAGUUAAGUUUAUGUUUUAUUAAUGGGACAAAUGUAAGACUAAGAUGUAAUUAGUUUUAUUUAUUUGUGUGGUGUGAAUUAACUAUGUAUUAGUAUAAAUAGAGGGAGGGGGAACACACCUCUUCACACCAUACAUUCUCUUCUCUUAUUUCCUCUCAAAUUCUUCUUUUCAUCUCUCUUUGUAAUUUUCAAUAAAUAAAAUUAGUUUUAUUUCA
rnacentral:lncRNA from 1 species